ACACCUUGAAUAAAAAACAACAGCCAAGGAGAUAAUCUUGUAGCAAAAAUGGCAUCUAAGUGUUGAGAAGGAAGAUGCAUUCUUCCAUACAAUAAUGUAGGCCUCAACGGAAGCUUCUUGUCUUGAAAUUCAUUCACAUAAUGAACAAAUGGAACAUCAACAUGCUUAUAGCCUUCAUAAAAAUGUUGUAGGUUAUAAGUUAUAUUUCUAUUCAGAUUUUCCAAGUUUACAUUCGUAUAUACAUAGGACAUUGACCCAUUCAAAAUGGGCAUAGCAGAAAUUUUACAUCCUGAAGCAAAAUUUGACGAAGUUAAACUUGAAAGUUGACAGCUUACACCACUAGGAAUCUCAAAAUUCAAAAUAUCUGUUGUUUGUAAGUACUCUUUUACAAUUAGGAUUUUACUAUAACUUACUGUCAGCUGUUUGAGUAAGAUUACAGUAAAGAUUAUGGAUAUUCCAAUUUGUCUUUUUCAGGUACUCGUAAAAUAUAUAAUCGUUAAACGACAUCAUUUUACCAACAUUGCAAAUUAUACUUCCUAAUCCUUGUCCAAGUGCGUUAAUAUGAUAAAAGUGUUAUUACCUUUGUUAAAAAUACGUUAAUCGUGGUGUUUAAAUGAACAGAGUCGAGUAUAUUAGUAACGUCAAUGAGCAUUUUUAGGAACAAGGCUCGUGGCAUGUCUUAGUUUUAUAAAUUUAAUAUACCAUAAUCCAUAAAAAUUAAAAUGUU